UUUUAUAUUGGCCUUUGGUAUAAUAUUAGUUUUUACUUAAUCAUCAUAUGUAAUUAAAUGAGUUCUUGAGAGUAAGUUAGUGAAUUUUUAAAUAAUUUAAUAUUUUUUAAUAAUUAGCUUUGUGCUUUUUAGUAUAUUUAUAAUGAGUAAACUGGUUUCUCGUGUCAAUGGUUAAUUUUGAAUGUAAAUAUAGAAAUAUAGAUCCGGUUAUUGUAUAUAAAAGGGAAUAAUAAUGUGCCAGCAUUCGCGGUUAAUCAUUGUCUUUAGGCUAAUAAUUUUGUGAAGUAGUAAGAUUUAAAAUUAGGUUAAGUUUUUAUAGUUUAAAUAGUAGUGAAAUGCGGUUUCAUUUAGGUACGGUUUUUAUUUUUUAGUUAUUUUUAAUUAAUAAUAUUUAUUGUAUUUAUUUUUUUUGUAAGUUUUAUAAUAUCAAAUCUAAGAAGACUGUUCUUAAAACAAGGAUUAGAUACCCUUUUAUUAAAGUUGUUUAGAGUAUUUUACAAGGAGUAAGAGCUUUUGCUUUAAACUUAAAAAGGUUGGCGGCAUUUUUCAUUCAUUAAGGGGAACUUGGUGUUUAAAUCGACGAUCCUCGAAAAUUGUACCUUUAGUUUUCCUUGAAUACCGCCGUUGUCAGUAGGAUUCGAAGAAAGGUUGUCUGCACAAUACAAAAUAUUUUAUUUGGUAUUUUGUUUGACUUCAGGUAAACGUACAGGUUGCUAGAGGGAUUAACUGAGUUACAUUUAAAAAUUAAGUGUUUUGUAAAACAAGUUAUCGGAAUUUAAAAUAGAUCAUCUUUAUGGAGUUUUAGUUGGUUUUAAGUUGAAAUGCUUUGAUGAAGUUGUACUUAUUAGUAAGAUUUUAUUAUGUAGGAAUUCUGAAUUGUAUAUAAAAAAUGUGUACAAAUCGCCCGGCGCCCUUUGCGAUAUGGUUUCUAUAAUGAGUGGAGGUAAGUCGUAACAUAGUAAAGCUAGCAGAAGCUGGUUUUAAUUAAUU
rnacentral:rRNA from 1 species